rnacentral:lncRNA from 1 species
UUUGAAAAAGGAAGAAAAACUUAGGGGGAUUUGGGAGGAAAACAGUGAGAAAAAAAAAAAGGAAUCGAGUGAAGGCAAAAGGGAGGAAAAUCAGUGAAGUCAAGAGGGGAAACAAAAAGGGUCGGAAAUUUGGGAUCUUUUCAGGGGUUUUCGAGUGAAAAAAAAGAGGCUCCGAAUCCGCGGAAGAAGGUUGAAAAAAUCCAUGAGAAAAUUAAGGAAAAUCCGCAAGAAAGUAUGAAAAACGAGUAAAAAAAGGGGCAGAGAAAGAGAGGGGUCUCAAAAUUGGUAACUUUCUUUUCUGAUUUUAUUCUUAAUCGAGUUUCUCGAGUCCGAGUUAGCCACCGAAUCUUGACGUGAAAGCCCCUGCUUUGAUGCAACAAAAAAGGUGCGAAUCCUUUCCCCAUUCCUUUUUGUUUUCUCUCCCCCAUCUGUCACGAUUUUUUGGGAGUGUGUGAUUUUGUUAUGUCUUUGUUGUUUUUCUGUGACUUUAUGGAUAAGAAAUUAUUUUGGUUCUAAAAAAAAUUGUUUUGCCUAUAGAUAUGCAAGUAUGAAAAUAUGUGAUUUCUCUUUGGCUUCAAGUUUAGUUGUGUUGUUGCUGGUCGUUAUUUGCGGAAUGGAUUCAUGAAUUUGAUUCCAUUUUGAUUUCCCUUUUCUUUCAAAAUAUGGUCAUCUCGUGAUUAAGAUAUAUUGACGUAUUCUGUUCUAGGUUAAUUCGAGUAAAAUGUGUGUUUUUCGAGUCCGAGUUAUGUCGAAUUCUAUUCCCGUCUAAUUCUAUGGUAUCUAGUUUUUGCAAUUUGGUACUCGGUUGAGUCCUUACUCUGGGUUUGUUGUUGCUGGUACUUGGUUGAGUCCGCUGGCUGAUUCUGGAUGUGGAUGCGAAGUAAAAUACUUUGAUAUGUUUGCUUUUGUUCAUGUAAAGUGGAGUGGGUAAAUGUUAACGAUUUGCAUACUCCCUCUAGCGAACAAAAUAACAAGGAACCAGUUGGUUUGCAAUAGUGCAAUUUAAUUCUUAACCAACUAAAUUAGUAGCCUAACUUUUGCUCCUGUUUGCAUUCAUACGGUCUUUUAGUCUUAAUUAUGUAAAAUAUGAAAAGUUCACCUCGAUUUAUUGUCAUUUGGUAUAUAUUAUGUCAUUUCUAAUUGUGUGGAGAUUGUCCCUUUCUUACUGUCUGCCCCUAAGCUCAAAUAUGAGAAUAUUGAUGGCGGUGUGGGUAUACUAUUUUAUAAUCCCGAUUCUUGACUUGAUUGAAACAGUUAUGGAAGGUCAUGUGUUUGCCAUGGGAAAUUCGCCUUACUUUGUUGCUUUUACUUUUCCUGCUCAAAAUACUGUAGGAUUUGUUCAUUAAGAUUGCUUCUCAUAAUGUGCAUCUAGGCAUCUCUUGCCGUUUUGUCAAAUGUUAAGGGUGUAAUUGAGCUUUGUGUUGCUUCAGUCGGUCACUAUAGGGGCUGUUUUGUCUUUAAAAAAUGUAUUAACAUGAUUUGGAGAAUAUUGGUGUCUUAGAAAUAUACGGAAGAGUGUACAGUGAUGUUAAGUUUAUUAUAAGCUUUUGUUGAGUGUUUUAAAAAUUCUUCCAAGUCGGUGUGACCUCUUUAUUUGUUUGCUUGAAAGGUACUCAUUUGUUCCAGUUUAAGGAUAAAUAUGUUUUGUAAAGUUAGUGGUUGCAUUCAUGUUCUCGUUUAGGAAGCUUGUUCUGGUAGAAUACUAGAGAUUGAGGCCCCAUUUGUUUUAAGUUUAUCUUUCAAAACUAAACAACUUGCUGAGGUUACCCUCGUAAUAAUUUAUUAACUACUCCCUCCAUCCCAUUUUACACGUCCUAAAUUUCCUAAUAUGGUGUUCCAUUUUACUUGUUCUUUUUUACUUAUCAAGACAAGACAAUUUUUUUUUUCAUGUUUUACCCUUUGCAUUAAUUAUUUUUUCUUUAAAUUAAAAUAUAAACAUCAUUUAAUAGGUUUACUGUAGUAAAUCUUUCAAUAGGUAUUCAUUUUCUACAAAGUGCGAAUAUGGAUAGUUAUGUUUACGGAUCGUUUGUGUAUCUUGGUUGAACAAUAAGAGGGCAUUCUUUUAUAGGCAUUGGGUAUUCUGGCAAACCUGAAAACAACUUGCAUAUCUAUAAUUCUCGGCUUCGUUUACUUGGGAUACAUGUCCAUUGCUAAUAUAUUUCUAUCCAUUUAAACUCAUCAUGUUCACUUUCAAUUUUGCGUGUGUAUCUUUAUUGGUUACUAAUCCUUACCCUUUUAUUUUUACAUAUGAACUACAUAUGAACUCGGGAGUUGGGAGUAUCGCAACGGAACUCGUCUUGACCCAACUAUUGGGUCAAUAGCUAGUAGGAUCGCAGAGCCUCGGGACUGCGUAUACUUGAAAACUCAAGCCCAUUAGGAGUCUAGUAUCUCUUAGUCCCUUCUCUUUAUUUAAUAUUCAUGUUAAGUUACUUUUGUUAAAACUUGAGACGAUAAUUAGUUAUUGUUGGUUAUUGAAAUUUUAUUGCUUUAUUUCGUUUAUAUUGCUUUAUAAUUUGCGGGUUUCCUUUGGAAUAAGAUAACAUCAUCACCCUUUUCGCAAUCACCACAUGAUUAGACAAAUGGAUUUUCUUAAAUAGAAGGGAUUUUAGUAAUUGAGAUAGUUGGCUAACCUCUCAUAAUUAAUGGUUGUACUCAAAAAUAUUUUCUUUAAUAAAAUAAAUAAGGUCGCAACCCCAACACUUUUUUUUCAAAACAAAAGAGAAGUUUUGAUAUGAUCAUACAAAUUGUUCGUACUUGUGUUUCUACGGAACCACUUAUCAAUUCCGGCUCACUUGAGUAUAUUAAAUGGUCUGAAUAUUUUAUCACAUUUUUAUUCACCCUUUUACACUAUCUCUAAAUAGAUUUUUUUGAAGUAAAAUCCCAAACGAGAUUAAAACACGAGGUACAUGUGGACACUUUAUCAUAUGCAAAAUAUUGAUUCUACUACUAUUUUUGUCCAUUCUUAACUACCCCUUUUAAAAUAUACUUACAAAUAAAUGAAUAAUUGUGUGAUAAGGGGUCGUUUGGUAGAGUGCAUUAGAAAACUAAUGCAUGCAUUAGUUUAAUAUGUAUUAUUAGUAUAUUAUUUGGUUCAUUUUUUAUUCUAUGUAUAACUAAUGCAAGUAUUAGUUAUACACUCUAUUGUGUAUUGUGGAGAGCAUUAUUAAUGUCACUCCUUUCCUAUGUAUUAGUAAUACAAAUGAAUUCAAUGCAUGUAUUAGCUUGAUUAAUAACGUAACUACCCCUCCAAUCCUUUUAAAAUAUUUUUCAGUUUCUUCUCUGUCUUUACCGAUGCAAUAACACACUUAUUUGAGAUGGCAAAAUUCAACUCAGAAGCGAUCUUAUCUAUGUGCUUGGUGAAGAGUUCAACUACUCAUACUAUUGCCUUGUUCCUAUUUUCAAAUUUAAACACAAACUUGAUAUCUGGGAACAUCUAGGAACGAUUUUUUUUUAUUUUUUUUUUUAAAAAUGUUGUAACCCAAAAGCUGGCUCUAAUCCAUGGAAAACAUUAUGAUGGCAAUUUUCUUCGAGAAACUUGAAGCAAUGCUAAUAGGCAACAAUUAUUUACAUUCAUUUUGGGGGGAAAAGAAAGAGAAGUUUUCAAUAAGAAGUGUACAAGAUUAAAGAAUAUAAAGGGUAUUUUUUAAAUAAAUAUUUUUUAAUAGAAAGGGAAAAGGCACAAAUAUACCACUGAACUAUCAGAAAUGACCCAUUUAUGUCAUCUGUUAUAAGUUGGACUCAUUCAUGCAAUCACUAUUACAAAAUCGGCCCAUCCAUGCCAUUACUUUUUAACAGAUGAUUUUUAAAAAUAGGCGUGCCACGUGGCAGCUUAUUAGAGGACCACGUCAUUUUUAUUUUAAUUUUUCAUUUUAAAAAAAAAAAAACUAUCCAUUAAAAAGAAUCCACGGAACUUUUUGAUCCAUUGAAAAUUAAUUUGAUGUAUGCUUUUAAAAUUUGAUUAAUUUUUCAUGAAUAUAUUCUUAAAACAUUCUCGUUCGAUUCGUUUUUUUUGUCAUUUUUGACAUAUUAAGAUUGUUUUCAUAUUUUACCUUUAAUAUUAAUUAUUUUUUUCUUCAAAUUAAUUUCAAAUACAAUAGUAAAACUUUUCAUUUUGCCAACUCUACGUAUACUAUAUAUGUCGGCAUGUUGUCGUCUUCCUGUUUUUGCAAUGAUAAAUGAUGAUGCAUAAAGUGUUACGUACAAAUGUUGAAUGCUGAUCAGGGGCAUCUCAACACUUUAGGAGAAAAGUCAGCCGCCUAAGACCCCAAAAAUUGAGGGGCCUAUUUUUGUUUAGUAAUAAUAAAAUACAAAUUUUAAGAAAUAUAUUAAAUACUACUUAUAGAAAAAAGAAAAAUUUUAUAUAAAAAAUAAAACGCAAGGCCUCCGUUUGAUUUUUGCCUUAGGCCAUAAAUUUGCUUGAGCCGCCCCUGAUGCUGAUGAUGUCAUUCUAUGCUUAAUAAAAAAAUAAAAAAAUAAAAAGUUACUUACAUUCGGCUGACAAAAUAUUUCAUGUAUGCUAAAACAUACUAUAUGCUUAAUUAGAAUAGCAUUUAGUUAUAAAUUUUAGUAGUAGAUUUUUUAAAAAAAAAUUCUUUAAAUAUUUGUUUGAUCAUGAAAAAUUAAUCAAAUUUUAAAAGUAUAGAUCAAAUUAAUUUUUAAUGGAUCAAAAAAUUGGGUGGAUUCUUUUUAAUGGAUCAAAAAAAAAAAUUUUAAAAAAUUAAUUUAAAAAAAAACGGCGUGGCCCUCUAAUAAGCUGUCACGUGGUAAGACUGUUUUUAAAAACCGACUGUUAAAAAGUAAUGGUAUGGAUGAGCCAGUUUUGUAACGGCGACGACAUAAAUGAGCCCAACUUUUAACGGAUGACAUAAAUGAGUCAUUUCUGAUAGUUCAAUGGCAUAUUUGAGUCUUUUCCCUAAUAGAAAUUAUAUAAGAUAUAUUCUUUUUAAUACAUUAAACCAAACAGUGUAUAACAAAUAAUGCCAGCAUAACUAAUGCAAGCAUAACUAAUACCAGCAUUACUAAUGCAAUCAUUAUUAAUACACCAUAUUCAGCAUUAUUCUUAUACACUCUACCAAACGACCCCUUAGUGUGUAAGUCAAUUUCUACUCAAAAUUAAUGCAUUAAUAUAUUCCAAUAUUUUAUAUACUUUUACCCUUUUCCGAGAAAUGCAUUUUGCAUACACUUGUUUUUGAAAUAAAUAAUUUUCCCACUGUACAUGAUAAUUCAUAAAUAAAUAAUUUUUACAUAUUUCUAAACGAUAUUUAAAUUUCUUCUUUACACACUUAUAUAUUAUGGAAAUUUUAUAUUCUUGUAAAAAUUAUAGAACUUUAAGUUUUUAGUUUAACAAAUGCUAAUGUUAACCUUUUCACUUCGCUCUCAUUUUUUUUUAAAAAAUAUGCAUGUGUACUUUGACAAUAAAUUACGUUAUUUUCGUAUAUUAUAAGAAUGUGUUUAUGUACCUUGUAUGUUUUCUUUAAGUUUGAUAAACAUGUGCGUAGUUACCAUCAUUCUAGCAAAUAACAAAGUAAUCAUUUUCCUAAACUGAGUGUAAGGUCUAUCUUCGGAUAGACUCUGAGGGGUGUCUAACAUCUUCCCCUCGAGUAAUCAAAACUCUUACUCACAAUUUCAAAAUAUUUUCGACAGACUAAAAUAGAGUUUUACAUAAAAAAUAGUUUUUCCUAAUUUUCCUAAAAAGUUAGGUGGCGACUCUAAAAAAUGAAUUUUCAAAACCCAAGAGUCAUGACAACGCCACCACAUGUUGUGUGCUAUUUCAACUGGCUCGAAAUAGGGCGCGACUAUGACAAUAAUCACAAGUAAGAAUCCAAAAUCAUAACUGAAUUAAUCAACCAAAAUCAAUACAAGAGAAUUCCAAGAUCAAAAUCAAAUCUCGGAAUCAAAAUAUGUUUGUGAGUAUCAAGAGUGUGUUAGUUCUAUUAAAAAACAUAUAAGAAGUAGUUAUAAUGCAUGAGGAAACCCUAAAACCAAAGCCCAAAUGAAAUACAAGAAAAAAAGGUCAGUGGCCACAUAUGGUCUCCACAUGCGGCCUAGCCUUGGCGCAUGUGGUACAUGCGGCCUGAGGCUGAGCGCACGUGGUGACUUCAUGUGCCCACCAAAAAUUCCCACUGGUUUGCUUUGAGGAUUUUGGACUUCUGACAGAUGUUUUGCCCACAUGUGCUACAUGCGGUUCGUAUGUUGACUUAGCAAGUGCCGAAAGAUAUUUUUUUAGCUCUUCUUCAAUUCCCGCAUAUGUUUUAGUCACGAAAAAUUCAGAAAGUGUCACGAACACCCAUUAUUGAUCACAUAAGUAGCCAAAAAUAUCCUUUUUCCUCUUUUUCACGAACUUAACAUCUAAAACCUAGUAUCCUGCAAAACAUACCCAAAACGCAUUAUAUCUAACGAAACAACCUUAGAAACUUGCAUAUUUUCCUUGUUUUAAGCAUCGAAAGUACUAUAUUUCUAUAGCACAUCAUGUCCUUCAUUUAUUCUCAAAAUAAAUGUACAAAAUAGCAUUAGUGGUUAUAGAGUACACCAGUUUUCAUAUUAUUAUGAAGUACCUAUGGCGAUAUCUGUUUCCUUUCAACAAAUUUUCUUUACAUUCUACACCUUGGGGUGUCUCAGAAGUCCAAGUUCCAUCACCCUACACCUUGCCAAAUAUUGUGAGUUCAAGUAACUGUAAGUUUUUGCUUCUUACAGCUUGAUGUUUAAUAUCAUUUCAAAUUAUAUUGAAAUUAAUUGGUUAUACUGAGUGAAUAAUUAAUAAGCAUAGAAUACACAGAUCAAAAAAAACCUUUCUCCUUUUAUAGCCUUAUAUCAGGAAGAUAUUUGUCCUCUUAUUACCCAAGGUCUGUAUUACUGUUCUAAUCUUAUAGUUCAAUUGUAUAUAACAGUAGUUGAUGGUUAUCUUUUGUUUUAUUGAAAAGAAGUCGAAACAAGAGUUUCAUGAAAAUACUAAGGGUGGUUUGCACUUCUGGCCAUAUUUUUUACUGGUCUUUAAUUUUCAUUCUUCAAGACAAUAAGUUUAUAUGUUUGCAUCAUAAUAAUCUACAAGUUAUUUGUCCUGCUCUUUUAGAGAACUUAUGGCCCCAUUGGGAUAAGUUGGAUUUCUAAAGGCAAGGUUAAAUAUUAGCCUAUUUAAGACAAACUAUGCAUUAAAUGAAUUACUAAUAAUCACAAGAUCGGGAUAGUGGUCAGAACUUCAAAUAAUGUGUUUCCUUAUCCUUAUGUUUUCAAGAGAAGGUAUUGUUGGUUUUAAAUUGUCGAACAUUUUAUGGAAAAAUUUUGUGAUGAAUAUUGUAACUUAAUUAAAAUAAAGUGGUAAGGAAAAAAAUGUCAUACAAUAAUGAGAGCCUGUUUGGGAUUACUGUUAGAAAACUGUUUAUUUGAGAAACAUUUUUAUAAAAUAGCUUUUCAGAAAAGUGCUUUUAAUAAAAACAAAUUAUGUUUGGUAAAUUCAUUUGAAAAGUGUUUUUGAUAAAUAUAUUAUGUUUGGAUAAUCUUUUUUAAGAGGUGUUUUUGAGAGACAAAUGACCAAAACGGACAUGUAUCAAUAGACUUUUACUAUUAAUUAAAUCAUUUUAUAGAGAAAAAUUGUUGUAAUUAUCUAUUAUAAUAUUUUUAAUUAUUUAUUUAAAAUAGUAUUUUUAAUUAUUUAUUUAAAAUUAAAAAUUCAAGAAAAAUUUACGAGUAUUGUCAAAAUACCAUUUGAUCUUGCAACAACAUUAUUCAUCUAUCAUUUAUUAUCAUUAAUACUAAAAAAUAAAGAGAUAUAUUCUUCGAUCGUCAUCAUUAAUGAUAUGUUUGAAUUUAUUUAAUGAAAAUGAGUGAAAAAUAAAAUAAUAAUAUAUAAAUAAUAGAAGGAAAUAAAGAAUUAUGAUGUAAAUAUGAAGUAUAAAAUUCUAAAAUCAAAUUUUAACCAAACUUAUAAGAUAUGCUAAUUAAUUAAUAAGGGAUAUAUAUGUGUGUGUGUGUGUGUGUGUGUGUGUGUGUGUGUUUAUAUAAGUGAUACAGGUACUUUUGUCAUGAGAAAAAUAAUUUCCUAUACUUCUACUUCUGUUUUUUUAAAAAAACAAAAAAUUUCUUCUUCUUUUCAAAAGCGGAAUAACUGCUUCUGCUUCUUUUUAAAAGUACUUUUGCAAGUUCACUAAACACUCUUUUUUCAAAAAAGUAUUUUUUUCUCAAAAAAAAUUUUUUUCUCAAAAAACGUUUUUUCCUCAAAAAAGCAUUUUUUGUGAAAAAAGCAAUCCCAAACAGGUUAUAAUAAGCAUUCCUAAUGUAACAAUUCAUUUGUCAAAAUUGAAUAUGGUCUAUUUGGAUAGUCACCUGGUAAUUGAAAUUGGUGUAAUUACUAGGAUAAUAAUUUUUAGUCAAGUAAUUACACAACCUAGUAAUUAUAAUAACUUGUUUGUUUGCCACAAUGUAAUUAUAGUGUAAUUACAAGUGUAUUAUUUGGUUGCACAAGUGUAAUCACAUGAUUAUCUUAAAUGUUUAAAAUAAAUAAAUAUUAAUUAUCUAUAAUGAGCCUUUAGGUCAAUUUCUCUGCUUUCAUGUAUUUUUUGUGUAUUUUGUAUUUUGUGCUUUUUGAUAGUGGUUACAGGUUAUUUAUGACUUAAUUGGGACCGUCGGUUUGGUUCUCAUGCAGUUCGUUUGGGUUCUAAGUCCAUUUCCCUAUUUAAGAGCUUUUUAAGUUAAGAAUUUGAUCUUUGACCAAAACUUCUAGUGAACGUCAUCGAAUGACAAAGAAGCUAACAAAAUGGAGAAGUCUGAGUACCCAAAUGAAACACCUAUUCAGCCACAAGAGAGACCACCACAACCAUUCCCUCAUAAGCUUAAAAAAGUCAAAGAGGAUGCUUGUUUUAAGAAGUUCUUUGACAUAUUUAGAGAACUUCACAUUAACCUUCUUUUAUUAUAUAUUUUGCAGGGAAUGCCUAAGUACUCUAAGUACUUGAAAGAUGUGGUGAAAAAUAAGAUGAAGCUUGGUGACAACGAGAUAAUCGAAUUUAUGAAAGAGUGCAGUUCUGUGGUAAUGAGAAAGAUGCCCCAAGAGCUCAAGAACCCUAUAAGUUUCACCCUCCUUAUACAAAUUAGUGAAAGUGAUGUGGUCCAUGCUUUGAGUGAUUUGGUGGAAAGCAUAAAUUUGAUUCCCCCAUACGUGUUUAAAACUCUAGAUUUGGUAAAAUGGAGGCCCUGUUCAGCUGUGCUCCAAAUUGCAGACAAAAUAAUAGUGGUUCCUAGAGAAAUCAUAGAUGAUGUUCUCAUUAAAAUUGGUGAGUUCAUUAUUUGUGCUGAAUUUAUUAUUUUUGAUUAUGAUGUAGAUGACACGGUGCCAAUCAUAUUAGGACAUCCAUUCUUGGCCACUAGAUAAGCACUAAUAGAUGUAAGAAAGAGCACUCUCAAAAUGACAUUGAAUAAUAAAAAGGCGGUCUUCAAAGUGUACAAAGCACUCAAUAUAUCCUCACACUACAAAUAUUUGUGCAUGAUCAUAGCUAUAGAAGUAGAUAAGUGCAGGGUGGAGGAGCACUAAUAUAUGUGAGAGAGGGCACUCUCAAAAUAAGAUUGAAUAAUAAAGAGGUGGUCUUCAAAUUGUAUAAAACACUCAAUACAUCCUCACACUACAAAGAUCUACACAUGAUCAUAGCAAUGGAAGUAGAUGAGUAUAGGAUGGAGGAGUGCAAACCUCUAAUUACCUCUCUGAACUCUCUCAUGGAGUAGCCCAAGUUAACAAUGAAGCCUAAAAUUGAGAAACUUGAAGGGGAGCAUGAACAGGUAAGUGUAGAAAGAGUGGCAGAUCUUGAGAGUAGGCACUCAAGAGGUCUGAAAAUAAUAAGAAGAUGGGCUUCGAGUAGGAAGAAAAGGAUAAGAGAUUGUAGUUAAGAGUUGUAAGUUUAGUCAUGUCGCGAUAAUAAAUCAAACACUGAUUAGGAGGUAACCCAAGUUAAGGUAGUCAUUUUUUCUUUAAUUUUCAUUAAUAUCACAUUUGGUUUUAUUUUUGUUUUAUGUAAAUAGGUUGAAGAAAAGUUUUAGUACUAGAGAUCUUAGCUAGGAAGCACGACAAAAACUGAGUGUGGGGUCCUUCAGAUCUCUUUGAUGAACAUGAUGCUACUAGCUAGGCCUAGAGGCCUCAGGGAUAGGGAUGGCAAUGGUGCGGUACGGGUGUGGUGUGGUGCGGGUUUUAAUAUAUGAGGGGCAGUGCGGGUUUUAAGUUAUGCGGUGCGGUGCGGGUGCAGGGCGGGUUAAAGUAAGUUUUUUUUUAAAUGGUGCAAUGCGGUGCGGGUUGCGGGUAUAUGCGGGUUUAAAUUAAAAAAAAAUAAAAAAUUAGUAUUGUUCUUGUGAAUAUGCCUAAAAUUAUGUGUUCUUUACUUAAAUUUUAUAAUACUUAAAACGACAUACAUAACACUACAAAUAAAUAAUUUUAUAGUAGCUUUUUUAAUAUCGCUAUUCAUUUGAAUAAAAAUAUGAUAUUUUAUCAUUACUUGUAUACGUUAUACUUUUUGAUAAUUUUUUAGUGAAAAGUGAUAUAAUAGAAAUUAAUUAUUAUUUUCUAGUUGUAGAUUUGAAAAUAUUAUGAUUUUCAAUGGAGUUAUAAAUUUUUCAAAAAAAAUAAAAAUAAAAACAUGGGGAGGUGCGAUGCGGUUAUGCGCAGGUAUGAAUGUGAGGCAGGUUUAUGCGGAUUUAAAUAUGAUGUGGUGCGGUAUGGUUUUAAAACUUACGGAUUUAGAAAAAAAUUACACCGCACCCGCACCGCACCACACCAUUGCCAUCCCUAUCAGGGAGUAUUUCUAUCCUUACUUUUAAUUUAUACUUUGCAGAUAAAGUGUGACUUUAAGUAUGGGGAGGGGAAUAUUUUGAUUGUUUAGGGUGAAGUAUUGCUAUAAGAUGUCUAGGUUCUGUUUAAAUUUUAAAAAAUUACAAAAAUAUUUUAUCUUUAUUUAUUUUUAGCUUUAUUAUUUGGUCUAUUUGGUAGAAGCACACUUCACCCACCUUUCAUUUUUUUGGGUCUUCUCUGAGAGAGUGCCCUUUGAAUCCAGUAUUAUUUUUUAUUUUUAGGAGUAAUUUUAAAAUUUGUGUCAUUAGGAAUAGAUAAAGAUACUCUUGUUAGGUUCUAUACAUGGUUACAUGAUGCAAGUUUGUUUUAAAUAUGCAAGCAUGUGUAAAUAAGUUGAAUGACUUCGUUGAGACACCUAGGUUUAUUUAUUUGACUCUUGUAUGAUGUUGGAUUAAUUUUAGAUUCAUGCUAUUGCUUGAUUUAGAAUCUAUAGAGAUCUUUAUUGAUUUAAACAUAUGUAAUGUGUGAGUGAGGUUUUUAUCAUAUUCCUUGUUGCAUAGUGAUGUCUAGAACUUGCCUGGUGUAUUUUCAAAAUGAAAUAAAGAUUGUUGAGUUUAGGAGAUGAAAUAGGCAUUUCUUUGAUAGUCAUAGUUUGCACUUGCUUUAUCAACCCUUUAUGUAUGGUCAUAGUUAGCCUAUUGAGCCUUUAGCCUAUUCUUUGGUAAAUUUAUAUGUAGCUUAUUCCUUUUAUUUUAAUUUAUUAUUAUUUGAUCCAAUACUCCUAAGAGCUUUAGUUGAGGAAUUAAGAUGAUAAGGAGUGUAAAAUUGAAAAAGGAAAAAGUAAAGUUAAAGCCCCAAGAAAAUAGCUAUUGGUGUUUUGAAAAAGUUUGUGUUGUUGGUAGGGAGUGAUGUAAUGAAAAGAAAAAAAUAAGUUGAUCAAAAGAAAGUGAAUCAUGUGUUGAUGGAAAAUACUCCCUAUUAAAUAUGUGUGAGCUAGCUUAAGGAGAUGGAACAAAACAAAAGAGAGAUGGGAAUAUAAAAGUGGUGAAAAUGGUGUAUUAAAGCGCUUAGGGAAGAUAAUCACUAUUACUAGCUAGAAUAGUUCCUACCUAUCCCUUAACCUACAUUACAACCCUUUAAGUCCUGUUUGAUCUUGACCUUUAAGAUUCUGAUAUUAGUGGAAAACUACACUAAGGGCAAGCUUAUGGUUCAUCUUAUGUGAUAUGUGGAUUCUUUAUGAGAGUGAGUGGAAUUCGAUUUCUACACCCAGUCUUGUGAUAAACUACAUAUAUGUUAGUGAAUAUGGGUGACUCUCUUCUGGUAAUGGCACAUGUUUGAUGAUGGAAAAGUGACUUGCAUGAUCUCUUUGUUGAGUAAUAUUCUUGAGUUUUCUAAUUUGGUAGAGUCAAUUCUUGAGGCUAGGAAGUCUUGAAGUAGUGUUCAUGGGUUUUCAAUUGUAAUAUGACAUGCUUAAUAUGGAACUUGCUCUUCAUAUAGCCAUUUUAGUUCUAGCUUGAUACGACUCUAUCUAAUCCUUGACUUUCGAGGAUGAAAGUUAUUUUAGUAAUGAAUGUUUUAGUGACCCUCUAGGUCAUUUUCUCUAUUUUUGUGCAUAUUUUUCAUUCCAUUCUUUCCAUAAUGAUUACAGGUUAUUUUAAACUUUUUGGGACCAUUAGUUGGUUCUCAAGGUAGCUCAUUUGGGUUGUAAGCUCAUUUUUUUGUUUUGGAGUUUUUAAAGUUGAGGAAUUAGUCUUUAGUUGAAACUUCCAGUAAACAACCUUAUAUGAUAAUUCUGAGAGUUCCAUUAGCUCUAGAAUGUUGAUUUAGGAUAAGGAUAUCCUUGAUCCGGGUCUCGAGGAUUCAAGGCUCGUUUAGGAUACUAAUUAGAAAUUGGUGAAAAUGAAACCUUUGGGGGGUCCCACUUUUUGUCAAAACAAACCUGGAUGGAAAUUUUGAUGGUCCCCGUGAGUUCAAAAUAUCAAAUUUGGUAGGUAUCAUAGCCUUUUUGGAUGCACGGGGUUUUAAAUUAAUUUUGAGAAUCUGGUCGAAGUCCAUUCAAACAGUUAAAUUUUUAAGUUUUUGGUAGCUUGUGCAGCAGCUUAAGCCGCUUAAGCAACUGGGGUAUCUCUUUAUCAGCACCUCUUCCCCGAUGUACCUUCCACUUUAAAGGUUAUUUACCUCUUUAGUGGUUUAGAUGCUCAGUGGAUGCUUAAGCCUCAAUGUUGGGUAUAUGAUUUAGAAUUUGUCUCUCUCACUUAUUUUAGCUCAUUUCUCCUCUAUUGUUGUGAUCUUAAGAUUAGGAAUUAAUGGGAUUUCAUCCCAUUGAACUCAUGUAUGGUACUUGAAUGGUCCUUGUCCUUUUUCCCAUUAUGGUCUGCAUUACUUUUCCUCCUCUAAAUUAAAUUCUCAAUUUUGGGGAUUUUGAUCAUUAGACUUGACAAACUAAUUUGAACCCCAAUUGAGAAUCCAUAUGUGUUCAAUUUUUCAGCACACAUUCCUUGUCCUUUGGGGGACCUCAUGGUGGAUUCAAUUUUGAAUUCCAUUAGUGGGUCUAUGGGCUAUUUUUUGACCUAAUUCUCUUCGUAGAGCUUAGUAUUGCAUUAUAAACUUAUUUUACUCGUAUUAAUGGAUAGAUUAUAAAUUUGAUAGAGUGAAGAUAUUCAGAGAUCGAGGAGUAGAGAUAAGCAGCUCUUAGAUUGUUCAGCAAUAAGGUAGGCUAUGGUCUACUUUUCUCUAUGAGAUUGUGUAUCAUAUAGAUUGCAUGCUAGUUGGGGUUUAUAGGAUGGUUUUAAGGCUAGUUAUAUCAUUAAGAAUGUUUUCCUUUUCUUGUAAUCUAAUUUUGUGCUAUAGAGUCUAAGGUCUUAAAUCUCCUCUAAUACUCAUUUGUUCGUAUUUUAGAUCAUGUCUCCCUGAAGAUCUGAUGCACGUGAAAGUCUUCUGUCACGUCUGAGGAUAAUGUCUAUGGAGCUCAUUCUACUGAUAGAGUAAAUACCUAGUCUAGGGCCCCUGCUCCUGAUUUUUCUCAUGGGGUUCCACCGGUUCCCACUGUUCCUUCUCCGAUUGGUGACACUCAUGCUCAGUUAUCUCAGGGAGAUAUUUCUAAUGCAGAAUUUCAUUGCUCUAUUCAUUUUUUGACUCAGUUAGUGACCUCUUAGUCUCUCCAGUCUGAGCACGAGGGUGUUGUUGCUCCUUCUCAAGCCACUAGAGUUGGCCAGUUCAUGAGGCUUAAACCUUCGAUUUUUACUAGUUCUAAGGUUAAGGAGGAUCCUUAAGGGUUCAUUGACGAGAUGGAAUAGAUUUUUGAGUAAUGAAUACUUCUAACUCUGAAGGUGUGGAGUUUGUCACAUAUCAGCUAAAAGAUAUGGCAUAUCAGUGGUAUGAGGAGUGGGAUCAGUUAAGAGGUAAUGAUGUUGAGGUAGCUUUGUGGGAUGACCUUUCUAAUGACUUUCUUGACUGUCUAUUUCCUCAGGGGUUAAGGGAAUCAAAGACUAAAGAGUUUGUGAAUUUGAGGGAAGGCAGGAUGACUGUUAAAAAGUAUGCCUUGAAUUUCACAAGCUAUUCGUUAUGCUCCUGAGUUAGUAUCUUCCAUAAGGGUGAGGAUGAUGAAGUUUGCUUUUGGGUUAUACCAUGACUUAGUGUUGGAAAGCAAGGCCUCCUUGUUGAACAAGGACAUGGAUAUUUCUAGGUUGGUGGUAUAUGUGCAACAAGUAAAGGAUGAGAAGAAAAAGCAGACAGAAAUUGGGGAGAGGUAGAGUAUGAAGUUUUAGUACUCAAAACAGGGUGGAGGUCAGAAAAAUAGUGAUGGUGAUGGUAGGCAGUGGUCUAAGAAGAAGACUUGAGGAAAUCCUAGUUCUUAUUCUACGUCUAGUGCUCUAUAUCCUAAGUCAUUCAGUAAUCGUCGUUUUUAAGAUAAUGAUGGUCCUAGGGCAUAGGGUGCCCAAUCUCAGGCUAGUGGAGCUCAGCCAUCCCCAUCUUAUCCCCCUUGCCAUUUCUAUGGGCAGAUGUAUCAUGAAUUUUGUGAGGAGGGGAGGAAUAAGUGCUUUAAGUGUGGUCAGUUAGGCCACCUGCUGCGGGAUUGUCCAUUAGUUAGGUUUGCUAUUGUGGCUAAUAAGUUUUUGGUUGUCACGUCUUCAGCUCCUGCACCAAAGGGUGCUGCUUCUGGCUCCGAUACUAGUCCUAAUCGCCUUUAUGCUCUUACCACUCGCCAGGAAUCUGAGGUAUCUUUAGAUAUUAUCACUGGUACGUUACACCUGUUUUCUCGUAAUAUGUAAUUUUUGCUUGAUCUGAGGUCUACUCUUUAUUAUGUGACCCCAUAUGUGGCUGUUUAUUUUGGUUUUGGUCCUGAGAGUAUUUUGGACCCUUUUUUUAUGUCCACCCUGGUAGCUGAUUCUGUGGUUGGUAGAAGAGUUUGAAGGGGUUGUGUGGUAUCUAUUUGUGGUAGGGAGACCAUAGUAGACUUAAUAGAAUUGGAUAUAGUCGAUUUUGAAUAGUUGAAUAGUUGCUUACUUGCUAAAAUUCACAAGCAUUACGGAAGUAAAUGGGGGGAUUUGAAAUCAAUUGUAAGUAGUAACUGAACUUGAAUUCUUUCGAGGUUGUAAACAAUAGAGGACAUACACUAGGACUGCAUUUCCCCUAGAUUCUUAACUCUAUAAAUUUCUCGUGUUCAAUCCACCUAUUCUGUUGCUCUGCAUGCAAGGUCGAUAAUCUAUGUAUUAUCAACCGUCUUGUGAACGUGUUGAUAAAUCUCACCUUUUACCUUGUGAGUCUUAGGGCAUCACCUUAUUGAUCCUUAUCUAUGACUUCAGUUCAAUUUUCACCUUUUACGUCUUAAGUUGAUUAGAUAAGAUAAUGGAAUAAUAAGAUGGACGUGAAUGUUAAAUUAUUAUCUUAAUCCUUUUUUCUUAAUCUCAAACUCCUUUGUGAUGACGUUAUCGAAUACAAGCAAUCUUCAAGCUUCAAUAGUUGCUCUGAGGUCAAUUAAUGUGAAGAAGAUUAAGAUACACACAGUUAUGUUAGAAUAAAUGAAUCUCCCACUUUCUUUACAUAGCUAAUCCGCCAGGGUUCCCAUAAUCCUAAUUAGGGAAAUCAGCAUCUCAUUUUCAUGCAAUAAUCUAUGAUAAUCAAUAAAGAAUUUCUGUAAUUAAUUGAACUAGAAUAAGAAGAAUAAAAUCCAAAGUCUUCAAUUGAAUAAUAACCCAAAAAUCUUAAGAAUACCUUAAAGUAAUGUAAAAGUAUGUAAAAUAAUGUUAAGGAACGUCUAAGAGAGUAACCUUAUAAAAGAUAAACCCUAGAGUAUUUAUAGUAUCUCAAAAUAUCCCAGAAAUCCUAAUUAAAAUGGAAAAAAGAAAAGUAAUAUCGGUAGACGAUACGACUCGGUCGUCCACUUGUAAGGUCUUUUGAUGAGUUGUACAGUGCCUCUCUUAUGUUCUCCAGUGUUUGAUCUUCUACGGCUUUAACUUUCUAUUAUCUUUAUGACUCAUGCUCACGAGUCGUACCAUGAAAAUAAGACUCAUGGCCUUCACUCAUUACCGCCUGGGACUUAUACCUUUAAUGCUCUGAACACUGGUCUGCUUACAGUUUACUAAUACGAGUUAUACUUAGACUUCUGACUUGUCUUUCUCUAAGACAUCAACUCUGAAUCCGACUUUAGUUUCUAUUCUCUUAAUGCCUGCUUCUUCAGACUUGUAUCCACAUCUUACGAUCAGUAUGCUCCAGUCGUAUCUUAUUAUCACUUGUUUGUUUUGUUUGAAUUUUGUCACUAUUAUGCUUACGAUUCAGCCUACGAGCUGUAUGAUACGUUGAGAACUAUGAAGGUGACUUGUAUCAUCUGAAACUUUGUCUUUUUUAGGUAUUUUUCUUCAAAUUUUAUUCCAACACUAUUAUUGACCUGUUUUACCUGUAAAAAUUCACAAAAGCACAUCAUAUCUACUAAAAUAACCUAAGUACAAGCAUAAAUUCUUUGGUUUAAGCAUUGAAAGUGUCGUGUUUUCAGGACGCAUUAAGGGGGAUAUUCCUAAGACUACUUUUUAUACCUGGUAAGGCCAUUAUGAGUUCUUGAUCAUGUCUUUUGGUUUGACUAAUACCUUGACGGUAUUUAUGGAUCUUAUGAACUAAAUAUUCAAUCAGUAUCUAAACUUAUUUGUCAUUGUGUUUAUUGAUGGCAUCUUGGUGUAUUUUAAGAUAAGGAAGAUCAUGGCGAUCAUCUCCGAGUAGUAUUGCUGACCCUUCAGGAUCAGUGAUUGUAUGCUAAAUUCUUUAAGUAUGAGUUUUGGUUGAAUGUUGUGACCUAUCUGGGUCAUGUUGUUUAUAGUGAGGCGAUCACGAUAGAUCUACAGAAAGUUGAGGCAAUUAAUAAGUGACCCAGACCCAACACUCCAACCGACAUUCAGAGCUUCUUGGGUUUAACCAGAUAUUAUAGGAGGUUUGUGGAAAGUUUCUCUUUUAUUGCUGCCUCAUUGACUAAGUUGAGUAAAAAAAAGGUAAAUUUCUUGUAGUUGGAUGCUUAUGAGGGUAGUUUUGGGAAGUUAAAGGAUAAGUUGACUUCGACUCUAAUUUUGACUCUACCCGAGGGUAUCGAGGGUUUUAUUGUUUGCUAUAAAGUAUCUCGUGUGGGACUGGGCAGUGUGUUGAUGUAACAUAGUAAGGUUGUGGUCUACAUUUAUAGACAGUUCAAAGCUCAUGAGAAAAAUUACCCAACGCAUGACUUAGAACUAUUGGAUGUGGUUUUUGCUUUAAAGAUUUAGCAUCAUUAUGUGUAUAAGGUUCAUGCUAAUAUCUAUUCAGAUCAUAAGUGCUUGCAAUCUGUAUUUACCCAAAAAAAGUUGAAUCUCAGGCAAAGGAGGUGGCUUGAUUGCUUAAAGGCUACUAUAUGAGUCUCCAUUAUCAUUCAAGUAAAGCUAAUGUAGUUGCUGAUGCUCUUAGUAGGUUAUCCAUGGGAAGCUUAACUCAUGUGGAUGAGGAGAACCAAGAAUUUGUGAAGGGUAUUCACUGGUUGGCUAAUCUUGGAGUUCGUCUCUUGGACUCUAAGGAUGGAGGUGUGAUGGUGCAAAAGGUAGUGAGUCAUCUCUUGGUGCUGAGGUAAAAGAGAAGCAGGUUUUGGAUCCCAUAUUGAUGUGGAUUAAGGGUGACGUGGGCCAACAGAAAGUGACUGUUUUUACGUUGGUGGUGAUGUUAUAUUGAGAUACCAAAGUAGGUUGUGUAUUCUCGAUAUUGAUAGGAUACGAGAGAUGAUCUUGGCUGAGGCUCACGAGUUGAGGUACAUUGUUCAUCCUAGAUCGUCGAAGAUAUACCAUGAUUUGAAAGAGAUAUAUUGGUGGAAUAAUAUAAAGAGAGAUAUGGAUAAUUUUGUGACCAAGUGUAUGGUUUGUCAACAAGUGAAGGUAGAGCACUUGAUGCCUGGUGGUUUGUCUUAAGAGAUUGAGCUGCCCGUAUGGAAAUGAGAAGUGAUUAAUAUGGAUUUUUUUAUCGAUUUUCUGAUGUCUCUCCAAAAGUUUGAUUUGAUCUGGGUCAUUGUGGAUGGGAUAACUAAGUCCGCUCAUUUCCUACCAGUAAAUAGUAACUAUUCGGUGGAGGAUUACACUACGCUUUUCAUUCAUGAGGUAGUGAAGUUGCAUGGUGCUCUAGUUUCUAUCAUAUCUGAUCGGGGUACUCAGUUGUCAUCACACUUUUGGUGUUCUUUCCAGAGACGUUUGGGAACUAAGGUAAAUCUUAACACCAUUUUCCACCCUCAGAUGAACAUUUGAAAGGAAUCCAUCUUUGCCAGAUGUAACUAUUCAACAUUGUUAUGGCUCUAUGCUCUCUAGCCAAUCCCUAGGCAGAGGAACAACUAAAUUCACCACUUGGAUUUAGAGUCCAAAUUGGGAAGUCAGGUACCCCUUCCUGAUACUGGAAUGGAGUUCUGAGAAUAGAUUGCACUAAAGGACCAGGAAGCACAGAGGCUAGCUGUUGCAUAUUCCACUCACCAUCUAAUAUAAAUGUUGCUACUUUAACAUUACUUGGUCUUACACCCUCACUUCUAUAAUUAUGCAAUGCUCCAAAGCCAGGCCAAUUGUCCCAUCAAAAAUAGCAAGUACCUAAUUUAAUCCUCCAAAAAAUAUGUUGUUCAGCUUCUUUUUUGUUCUUCAUCAUUGUUUUCCACACCACAGAAUUCCCAGAGGCUCUUUUUUUUGCUAUAACAUUCACUCUCUUGCAAUAUUUUGCCAGUAAGAACUUCCCCCAUAGAGUGUUAUUACUUCUAAAUUUCCACCAUUACUUCAGCUGCAGAGCUUUACAUGUAUCAGCAAGAUGUCUAAUUCCAAAACCACCUUCUACUGUUGGGAAGCAUAGUUCCUUCCAGACUGCCCAAUGGUAUUUCUUCUUAUUAUCUUUCCAACCCCAAAAGAAGUCAAUAAACAAUGUCAAGAGUUGUUUUAUGAUAGUGUUUGGGGGAAUACAUGCAGAGAGAAUGUGAAUAAGGAUAGAUAGCAAUACAUAUUUGAUUAGUAUUAUUCUACAACCAUAGCUAAGCAGUUUAGAAUGUCAUCCUGCUAUUCUUGAAGUCACUUUACUAACCAGGCCUGCAUAAUAGCUGAUUCUUUGUCUUCCAAUAUACAUGGGGCAACCAAGAUAAGUAAGGGGUUGUGCUUCUGUUGAAAACCAGUUAGUUCUUUAACCUUUAAGACAGUAGAAGGAAAUACUUGAUCAGGAAGUAAGAAAUGACUUUUAUCCUUGUUGAUCAGUUGGCCAGAUGUUUUUUCAUAAGAUGCCAAAGUCUACAUAAUCAAUAUAAGAGUAUUUCUUCUUUCGGUGGUGAUAUGAUGAUAUCAUCAGCAAAGCUUAGGUGAUUAAUUUGAAGCCCCUAUCUAUCCAUGUAAAAACCAUAGUAUUGAGGGUGAUGAUGUAGGUUAUUGAGAUCUCUUGAAAGAACUUCAGCCCCUAGGAUAAACAAAGCAGGGGAGAGAGGGUCACUUUGUUUCAAGACCCUUAUAGAAUGAAAGAAACCAUACCUAGAACCAUUUACCAAGAUAGAGUACCAGUUGUUUGACAAUGUCCUCCAUAUUAGGUCAAUAAUAGCUUACCAAAAUCAAACCUCCAUAGUACCAAACAAGUAUAUGACCAAGACACCUUGUCAUAUGCCUUGGCCAUAUCUAAUUUAAUAACUACAUUACUCCCCACAACUGGUUUCUUAAUACCUCCAAUGAUCUCUUGAGCCAACAUCAUGUUCUCAGUAAUAUUUGUACCUCUUACAAAUCCUGAUUGGUUGCUUGAAAUAGGGUUAGAAAGAAUAGGGACAAGUCUAAGAUAAAUGAGUUUAGAUAUGACUCUAUUGGUAAAAUUACUUCAACUGAUAGGUUUAUAGUUAGAGAGUUUAUUGGGGUGGGACACUUUAGGAAGAAAGAUCAAACAUGUAUGGGUAAAGAAUUUUGGCAUAGCAUGACCAUAAAAGAAAGCAUUCACUACUUGAAGGAGGUCCUUACCAAUUAUAUACCAGCAAACUUGGAAAAAAAAUUUCAUUCAUACCAUCAGGCCAGCUGCUGAAUGGAUACUCAUUGAAAAGACCACUAUUUUUAUUUCCUCCAAUGUAGGGAUGGCUUGGAAAGUAGCAUUUGUUUUUUCAGAUAUCAAUUUAGGAAUAUUGGCCAGCAUUUCUUCAGGUACAUACUCAGUUGUCCCAGUAAAUAUAUUCUAAAAAUGAGAGACUACAACUGUGGCUAUAUCUGCAUCACCUUGGAUCCAAUCCCCUACCUCAUUCUUGAUUUUGUGUAUGAAUAAUCUCCUUCUUCUUCCUUUGAUAAAAGCAUAAAAGUAACUGGAGUUUGCAUCUUUGUACUUAAACCACUGCAAAUGAGAUUUUUGUCGUAAAAUAGCAUCCUCCACCUUGAGAUGUCUGAUAUAUUCAGCUUGUAUUUUGUGAAAUUCCUGCCUGUUCUCAUCAGUACUGUGUAAUAUCAGCUUUUCCUCAGCUUCCUUGACCUUUUCUUCAUAAGUUUUGACAUUAGCAUAAAUAUUACCAAAGACCUCUUUAGACCAAUGACUUAGGCUAGCAGUUAACCUUUUCAAUUUCUUUUGAAAUCUCCAAAUAGGAGAACCUUCAUAGGGUCUUUCCCAACAGUUCUCCACGAUUUUCAGGAAUGUGGGAUGAUCCACCUAGUAUUCCAAGAAUUUGAAAUAUCUAAGAUGUGACUCCACCCUCUCUUACAUUUCCAAGAGCAAAGGACAAUGGUCAAAACCCAUAGAUGACAAAUGAUUAAUACUAGUCAUAGGCAUGUCUUUCAGCCAAGUAUCUGAUACUAUACCUCUAUCUAGUCUCUUUCAUAUUCUAAAUUAAAUACCUCUAAGAUUAGACCAAGUGAACCUAGGUACAUGAAAGCCCAGAUCAGUCAAUCCACAAGCUUCUAUCACCCCCAAGAAUUCAAAGAUCUUCCUCAAAUCAUAUGGGAUGCCUCCCAGCUUCUCACUUACUUCAAAAAUCAUAUUGAAAUCUUAAAUUGUGCACCAUUGUAAGGAUGAGGUAAACAGUUGUACCAGAUUAUUCCAUAAAGGUCUUCUUAAUGUAUCUCUACACUUAGCAUAGACAUAGGUCAUAAGAUAAGGUUGGUGCAUAGCAGAGUGAGUAAUUGAGCAAGUGAUCUAUUGAUCAUUAGAAGAAAUAAUGUCAUAUGAGAUAUCCAAGGACCAGAAUAUGCUAAUUUUACCAUUAGAGUUACAUACAGCAUGCUCCAUCUUAAGCUUCCUUUUGGCCACAUCAAGGUGAGUAUUAUUGGAGAAGGGUUCCAGGAUUGCAAUUAAAGAAAUAUGAUGAAUGCUAAUAAGUUGUUGGAGUCUUUCCAAAACACCUUGGGUAAAUAUUCCCCUUGCAUUCCAAACAAGAUGGCUGAUUAUCUAGCUAUUUUAUGGGAGUGAGACCUGGUAAAAGGCCUAGCUGUGUGCCCAUUCAAAUUAGGUGCAGUGUAUAUGGUUUCUUUUCUUGAAUUUAUCAAGGAUCCUCUAGUAGAUAAGCCAUGCUUACUAGCAAUGUGAUUGACUUCUUUUGCAAACUCUUCUUGAUCACCUGGAUCAAACACAUCAUUAACAUUUUCCUCAAUCUUUUCCUGGUGACCUAAGUUUCCUUCAUCUUGUUCAUCCUCAGAGUGUAUUACUCUAUAUUCAUCAUCAAGCUCCUGAAGAUCAGUGAAAAGAGGCUCUUGUAGUUGUUCAUUAAUCAUUUGCUCUUGAGGAUCAGACGAGGUCCCUUGUAUCUCCACAGAGGAGCUCACUUCUUUUCUUUUAUGAGCAUCUUCUUGAGAGUGAUCUUUCAAUGUCUCCACGGGUUCAUCCUCUGAUAGCAUUGUAUGUAACCUCCCCUUAUUAUUAGGUUUCUCUGUACUCUUUUCUCCAUGAUAAACCUAGUUUAUUUUCCUGGCACCUUCAUCAGUUACAGCUUGAGCAUCAUGCUUGGCAAUGUCAGACCCUUCUAGUUGUUAUGAUAUUGUAGAACCCUUUUAAUUAUUAUCAGGACAAUUAAUUGUAGCAUUAAUAUCCUGUAUAAGAGCUGUAAAGGCAUUUGAUGUAGAUGGAGCAGAACUAUCAUGUUGACCCCUUAUAUGUUUGUUUGGAGAUUUUGGUUUGAACAUCAUCCUUUGAAUAUCCCUUUCUCUCUUUCUUUGAUUUUUCCAUUAAUUGGUAGGAGUCUUUCCUUUAUUAAUAUUUUGCUGGUGCCUAGCAUCAAUUGUAUUCAACAUCCUCUGGAAGGUUUGAGAUCCUUCCCCUUGUUUAUCCUCCCCUUGUAGUUCCUCAUUAAAAAAUAGUUUCUGCUUAUCAGCUUCAUCUUUACCUUUGACUUCACAUUUUCUUGCAGCAUAGCCUUGAUGUUUGCAAUAAGAGCAAUACUCAGGGACAUCUUCAUACAUAAUGGUUUGCCAUCUCCCUUCCCCAUGUUCAUCAUCAUCAUAUGCCAACCAAACAUGUUGGGGUCUAGCCUUAGUGAGAUCAAUUUGUAACAUGACUUUGGCCACACUACCACUGGUUUUUUUGUAGGUUGCCAGAUCCAGGAAUAAUAUUUUGCCAAUAGAGGAUAGAAGAGGUGUCACUACCUCCAAACGGUAAUAGUGCAAUGGCAGUUUAAGUAAGCUAACCCAUAUUUGGACCAGAGGGGUUUCUUUCUCAGGGUUAAAUAUGGGAGUCCACAGCUGAAAUCUCAUAAGUUGUCCUUGGAUGUACAUCUUCCCUUUUGACCAAACUAUGGAGUGAUCAUAUUCAUUGUUCAAGUCAAUGUAUAGAUGCCUGGACUUAAAGUGAGUGAUUUUAAAUUUCCCUCUUCACUCCGUUUGCAGAAGAAACUGCCGCCUAAUAACCUCUAUUUUGGGUAUACCAUUCUCAAAUUUUUCGAUCAAAGUGAAUCUACACCUCUGUGCUAAUUUUACUUUGUAAUCCUCUAAUUUAAACACAACCACCGGGAAAUCUUGUUUAGUUGUUAUUCGUGGGGGUUCAAUUGGAAUAAGUUAUGCUUUCAUAGCCUCUUGUGCUCUCAAUUUCAUGACCAACGAGUGGGUAACCCUAGGAAUGGGAGGAUCAUGUCCAUGAUUUAGUUUAGGCCAAAUAAUUGUAUUACUAGGGGCCGCUAUAUUUUCCAGAGUUGUAGUUCCUGGCAUGGUCACCAGACCAUUCGCAUCAGUUUCUUUAUUAAAUUUCACCAUAGCAGGAUUCUUCCACAAUUGAUGAGAAGCUGGGGUAGGAAGCUUACCCCCAUUUUUACGCACCGAGCAUAUUGGAAGGUUUUGUGGUUAAAUACUAGCUGACUGUACUUUCUUUGUGGGUAGUGCCUCAUAUUGCACAUGUUCUGAAUUGAGUGGUGGUGCAAGCUGAUUUAUGUUCUACGUCAUUUCCCCUAGCUUGCCAUGCUUGUCCAAUAGAGCUUGAUUGAGAAUUGCUUGAGCCCACCUGAGUAGAUGUCUGAAAUUCGAACUGGCCGACCAUCUAAUUAUGGUAUGUGCUGUAAGAAAUAUUGCACAACUGUGGGUGGUAUUUUCUACGGGGACUGGAUGCUAGCAUGCCUAUCCUGUGGGGAUUUGUUCGGUGGCCGAAGAAGCUCCAUCGGUGACUGAGAAUCCAUAGUAUGAGCUGUAAUGGUGUGGAGUAACUGUAACUGUAACUGUCAAGAGAGAGAAUUUUUAGAGAGAUAAAAUUUAUAAUCAACACCCGAUGAUCGCCGAUUAGUUGUUUUGUCUUUUAUUUUGGAUAUUGGUUUUGACCUUUUGACACACUUCAUACAAUAGUUUGCCACUAAGUUAGCGAAAACUUGUGAUCUCAUCCCGUAGUUGCAACAUCUGAGAAAGAGGAAAGUAUCUAUCCAAGAAUACAUCUAUGAGAUCAACCUAUUAAGUGAUAGAUCCCACGAGCAAAUAUCGUAACCAUAAGACCAUUUCUCCUGUCAAAGAGAAUGGGAAAAGGCGUAACUGGUUCUAUGUAAAAUAGAGCGCACACAUCAAUAAAAUUCUUCAAGUGUAGAUUUGCGUCCUCAUGUACUUGACCUCCAAAAAACCCUCUUAUUUUAAGUAAAUGAAUAGUAACGUGAAACACUCUAUUUUCUUCCAUCGGUGGAAUACGAAUAGCACUAGCUUGGCCCGCAUCUCCAAGAUGAUCCAUAUCUCCAAGCCUAUCAAAAGAUCCAUCAUUACUAUCGUGUUGGCUCAAGGUAUCUUGUAUUCUAUGAUUGUCCCCUGAUAAAAGAUAAAAAUAACAAAUUAUGUAACUAAAACACUACGGCUAACCUAAGGUCACUAACAACACCUCAAUAGUGAAAUCUAUGUUUCACUCUCCAGCGACAGUGCCAUUUUUUAUAACGCUCAAACUUACACUCAAAUUAGGUGUAAGACGGACUUUGUCAAUAUAAUUACCCAACUAAGAGUCGGUGUUGAAUCCACGAGGAGUGAAGAUAUAGAAUUCAAAAUUUACAAGUAUUGGUAGUUAACUAAGUGUUAACCUGUAGUACGAUAUUAAAUAAUAUUUGAAAUAAAAUGGGGGUUUGGUUUGAAUGAUGUUAAACACUACAAUAAUUGAACACUAUCAUGAGCUCCAGAGAUUGCAGAUUGUUACUGAAUGAAAAAGAAUCUUGGGGUUAUGCAAUUCUAGGUGGGAGUCAUGCAUGAGUUGACAAUAAUUCAUACAAGUUUACUUAAGGGGUUUGGGUAGGCUAUAUUUAGGGGUAUUGAUGUUAAUCUUUUAAUAAAACAUCAAAUCUCACAAGUGGGUUCUUUCAAACACCUCACAAGUGGAUCGACUUUACUAAUCCAUUACCUAGAUUAACAUCCUUAUUUCUAAGAUGAUGCUAUAAAAUAAGCUAACUCAAGCUAUUGUUCUCAAUUGUUGCUCACUCAUAUCCCAUCUUUCAAGGAUGAUAUGGGUUCAAUCAUCCCUCACUCAUAUCUCCUUUUUCAAGAAUGAUAUGGUUUCAAAGAUAAUUGGGGUUUAUAAACCCCAAUUAUCAAUUAAACAUGGAACAAAAGCAAACCCCAUUACCACCGCCUAAUAACCUCUAUUUUGGGUAUACCAUUCUCAAAUUUUUCGAUCAAAGUGAAUCUACACCUCUGUGCUAAUUUUACUUUGUAAUCCUCUAAUUUAAACACAACCACCGGGAAAUCUUGUUUAGUUGUUAUUCGUGGGGGUUCAAUUGGAAUAAGUUAUGCUUUCAUAGCCUCUUGUGCUCUCAAUUUCAUGACCAACGAGUGGGUAACCCUAGGAAUGGGAGGAUCAUGUCCAUGAUUUAGUUUAGGCCAAAUAAUUGUAUUACUAGGGGCCGCUAUAUUUUCCAGAGUUGUAGUUCCUGGCAUGGUCACCAGACCAUUCGCAUCAGUUUCUUUAUUAAAUUUCACCAUAGCAGGAUUCUUCCACAAUUGAUGAGAAGCUGGGGUAGGAAGCUUACCCCCAUUUUUACGCACCGAGCAUAUUGGAAGGUUUUGUGGUUAAAUACUAGCUGACUGUACUUUCUUUGUGGGUAGUGCCUCAUAUUGCACAUGUUCUGAAUUGAGUGGUGGUGCAAGCUGAUUUAUGUUCUACGUCAUUUCCCCUAGCUUGCCAUGCUUGUCCAAUAGAGCUUGAUUGAGAAUUGCUUGAGCCCACCUGAGUAGAUGUCUGAAAUUCGAACUGGCCGACCAUCUAAUUAUGGUAUGUGCUGUAAGAAAUAUUGCACAACUGUGGGUGGUAUUUUCUACGGGGACUGGAUGCUAGCAUGCCUAUCCUGUGGGGAUUUGUUCGGUGGCCGAAGAAGCUCCAUCGGUGACUGAGAAUCCAUAGUAUGAGCUGUAAUGGUGUGGAGUAACUGUAACUGUAACUGUCAAGAGAGAGAAUUUUUAGAGAGAUAAAAUUUAUAAUCAACACCCGAUGAUCGCCGAUUAGUUGUUUUGUCUUUUAUUUUGGAUAUUGGUUUUGACCUUUUGACACACUUCAUACAAUAGUUUGCCACUAAGUUAGCGAAAACUUGUGAUCUCAUCCCGUAGUUGCAACAUCUGAGAAAGAGGAAAGUAUCUAUCCAAGAAUACAUCUAUGAGAUCAACCUAUUAAGUGAUAGAUCCCACGAGCAAAUAUCGUAACCAUAAGACCAUUUCUCCUGUCAAAGAGAAUGGGAAAAGGCGUAACUGGUUCUAUGUAAAAUAGAGCGCACACAUCAAUAAAAUUCUUCAAGUGUAGAUUUGCGUCCUCAUGUACUUGACCUCCAAAAAACCCUCUUAUUUUAAGUAAAUGAAUAGUAACGUGAAACACUCUAUUUUCUUCCAUCGGUGGAAUACGAAUAGCACUAGCUUGGCCCGCAUCUCCAAGAUGAUCCAUAUCUCCAAGCCUAUCAAAAGAUCCAUCAUUACUAUCGUGUUGGCUCAAGGUAUCUUGUAUUCUAUGAUUGUCCCCUGAUAAAAGAUAAAAAUAACAAAUUAUGUAACUAAAACACUACGGCUAACCUAAGGUCACUAACAACACCUCAAUAGUGAAAUCUAUGUUUCACUCUCCAGCGACAGUGCCAUUUUUUAUAACGCUCAAACUUACACUCAAAUUAGGUGUAAGACGGACUUUGUCAAUAUAAUUACCCAACUAAGAGUCGGUGUUGAAUCCACGAGGAGUGAAGAUAUAGAAUUCAAAAUUUACAAGUAUUGGUAGUUAACUAAGUGUUAACCUGUAGUACGAUAUUAAAUAAUAUUUGAAAUAAAAUGGGGGUUUGGUUUGAAUGAUGUUAAACACUACAAUAAUUGAACACUAUCAUGAGCUCCAGAGAUUGCAGAUUGUUACUGAAUGAAAAAGAAUCUUGGGGUUAUGCAAUUCUAGGUGGGAGUCAUGCAUGAGUUGACAAUAAUUCAUACAAGUUUACUUAAGGGGUUUGGGUAGGCUAUAUUUAGGGGUAUUGAUGUUAAUCUUUUAAUAAAACAUCAAAUCUCACAAGUGGGUUCUUUCAAACACCUCACAAGUGGAUCGACUUUACUAAUCCAUUACCUAGAUUAACAUCCUUAUUUCUAAGAUGAUGCUAUAAAAUAAGCUAACUCAAGCUAUUGUUCUCAAUUGUUGCUCACUCAUAUCCCAUCUUUCAAGGAUGAUAUGGGUUCAAUCAUCCCUCACUCAUAUCUCCUUUUUCAAGAAUGAUAUGGUUUCAAAGAUAAUUGGGGUUUAUAAACCCCAAUUAUCAAUUAAACAUGGAACAAAAGCAAACCCCAUUACCAAUAACUAAUUAAUUAGAAAAAUAAUCUUCACCCAUACAUUAAUCACCAACUAAUCAAGCAUAACCCCAGAGAUAAAUUUAGCUGCUCAUGAAUAUAAAGAGAAGAUUUAUACUAAGAUUAGCAUGUAAUUCAUACAUGGAAAGCAAAAUGAAUAUAAUCUCCAAACUUGAAAUUUAAUCACAAGCCAAAAUCUCUCUUGGAAACACACCUACAUAUUAUUUUCACUCAAUAAUAGUGUAUUUUGCUCUCAAAAUUCAGAAACUGGUUGUUGGAAACGUAAAAAGUUUAGCAUUUUAUAUCUUGGAUUUAGCCUUGUAAAUUUCUGUUGCUGCCCUUGCAAGUUUGCCUGAUACUUGUGAUCGCCCCCUUUGGUCGCUAUCAUGACCCUCACAAUCACGGUGUAUUAGCUCAUUAUCAUAGUACUUCUAUUUGUUCUGCUCAUUGCGAUCGCGGCUCUCAGAGUGUGAUAGCAAUAUCUGAGGGUCGUAUCUUGGGGAUUAUCUUCAGCUUUUGUUCUUUUUGCUCUUUUUUUUUUCUUUUUUCAACUUUGUCUCAACUCUUUUUCAUCAUAUUUUCCUGUAAGAUCACAAAAACUGGACAUUAGUGUAUUUCAUACAAGAAUUAGUCUCGUAUAUACAAUUAAAUCACCAUAGUGUGCAAGAAAUGAGAUGUAAAUGAGUGGUAACUUUGCCACUAAUCAGGAAAUCACCACCACAAUUAAUUGGGAUGUACACUUUGUCGAUUAAAUGCUAAGGUAAGCCAGCUGGAAUGGUAAAACCUUUGAUGAUGUUGCUUAAAUAUUCCUCACUUCGAGGAACUUUUAGUUGUUGUUGAUAAUACCUAAUGUAGGCCUUAUCUAUGUAAACUUUGAAGAAACAGUUGGUUGUCGUGUAUCUGAAUUGUUGUUGUAUUUGCAACUUGGCCUUCUUUCGAAGGUAGUAAAAAUAACAUCGAUGUGUUGCACAUAUUAUCAAACAUUCAAAUUACGUAAUAAUAAAAUUAAUAAAUAAAUAUAAUUAAAUAUAGUAUCAAUAGUAAGAUAUAUGACAUUUAAACCUUAUCACUCCAGUAAGUUUGGUGUUGUGACAUCAAAUAGAAUCAAUUUCCUAUUUUGGAAUGUGCAAUAACAAAGUCGACUAUAUCAAAACCAAGACCUGAUUAGUUCACUUUGUAGUGUUCCUUAUUUAAUUUUAUACAUGAUUUAUAUGUGUGAAUGCCAUGUUUUUUACAAGAAGAAUUGUAUAAAUCAAUAUUUUUUAAAAAAUAAUUUUUGUAACUAUUGGCAUGAAGCUUUAAAAGCCCAUCGGCAAUCCAUUCUGAAUAAGUAUUGAUCAACUUUAUUAGAGCCUCAUCCGAGAUGUUGAAAUUUUCAAAUGGAUAAUUCUUUCCUUCUUUCGAACUGACAGGCUUCACUUUUUUAUCUUCUUUAGAAGCAGUUGAUGGAUUAUCAACUGUGAUAGUAUGUUGUUCAGUAGUAGCUUCUACUAUGACAUCCACCUGGAAAGCCAAAAUUGUGAAUGCUAAUCACAGAGAUACAACAAAAAAGGAUAAUUCAUCUAUUCCAAUAGAUGUCUCAUCUGUUGGAGGAGAUCAAAAUGGGUCUUGCUACUAUUUUAAUUUGUCCUAAUAGAUGACAUAUUUGUUGCAAUAGAUAGGUCAUUUGUUGGAACACAUUCAAACAGGAGGAAGACCUGUAUGAUAAUUUCAAAUAGAUGACCCAUUUGUUGCAAUAGAUGACUCAUCUGUUGGAAUAAAUUAAAAUAGUAGGAGGUCUUAAUUUAAUUUGUCCUAACAGAUGAGACAUUUGUUGCAGCAGAUAGGUCAUCUGUUGGGAUAAAUUAAGAUAGUAGGAAGAGCUAUUUAAUUUUAUUUCAAUAGAUAAGACAUCCAUUGUCUCAGAUAAUGCAUCUCAUGCUACAAGUUAGUCAUUUAUUGCAAUAAAUGUCUAUAUUUGUUUGAUAAUUUUCAACAAACGUGUCAUCUAUUGAAAUAAAUAUGUAGUUUGUUUGUUUGUUGGAAUAGAGGAUAAAUAUUCACCUUUUCAGCUCAUGCUGCUCUCUUGUGGCGCUUGGACAUUGGUCAAAAGUGCAAGACAGAGGAGUUGUAAUUUUUCCUUUUUUGAUGCUUGAUAUUGUCGUGGAAAUUGCUUUUUUUCUCCUCUUAUUAGCCUUAACCUCUAAUAGAGUGUAUGGAUCUGAAAUCCUCUUUGAUGAAAUGACACCUUCUUAGAUGUCAAUUCUUUUACAUCAAUAGUUAAUGCAUUAAUAUCAUUAAUUACUCUAUCAUAUUUCACCUUGAAGUCUUGACAUUUGUAUGCACAACAUAAGCUAGAAGCAAGAUCUCCAAAGGAUUAAGUACACUUUUCAUAUGAGAAAUUUGUAGUAUGCCAAUUUAAAGAAGGGGUAUAUUGAGCACCAAAAUGAGUAAAAAUAGAAUGAUCAUAAUCAUACUAGUUUGUAGUUUCAAAAACUACAAGAGAAGCACCAUUACGACACCACCAACAGCUCCAUCACCAGUAGCACCAUCAACAAUAACAAGUCUACUCUCCAAAAGUAUUUUUCUUGUGAUGAUUGUUGCUCCAACCAAUUUUUUUUAUUCUAUCAAUUAUCUUAGGGUCCGAUAAAGUUUGCAAAGAUCGUAAAGUAAGAAAAAUGACAUCUUCAACUCUCGAUUAAUUGGAAUAAGCCACGGAUACACAAUCUAAAAUAAAUCUGCACAUAUAUUAAAAUGAUGAUUAAAUAAUUUAAAUAAAUCAUUAAUUAAAAUAAAAACUUAAUUAGAAUUAGACUUACUGCUUUCUCCGGAGGUUGAAAAGUUUACGAAAUUUUACUUUUUUUUAUGACUUUUGACCGACGACUAUCUCACAAUUCUUGAACAUGAAACUUUUUCUUGGUAGUUCACUUAUUGUCGGAGAUAAGAAAUGAUUUCAAAUGCCCAAGCCUAUAAAAUUAUGCAAAUAAAUCAAAAACAUUAUUCAAGAAAAAAUAAAUAAAUCAUAAUAAAAGAAAUAUUUACCAUGAAAGUCCAUGCAAAGCCAUAUAAUUUGACUUUCUUUGGCGUUAACGGAGUCUACAAAUAUUUUAUAUUUUGAAGCUUUCAUCACCCCAAAGAUAGAUGUUAAAUGCCUCAAGAUCCUCGGAGAGCUUUAUUAAAUCAAGUGGUAUGUUGUUGUUAAUGUCUCUCCCCAAAAAAUAUUAUGUAUAAACCAAACCAAGUACAACGAUUGCUUGUGCUUCUUUGAAAGUCUUUUACCUUUCAACUCUUCUAUCAAAUUUGUGUUUUUGAAGCUUGGACCAACAAGGGACAACAAUUCAUCACCAUCACUUAACUUGACUUUGUCUUUUGGUGUAGGGGGUGCUUUUUUGGGUUAGAAUAGGUAUAGGUUGAGAAGGGGGAUAACAUUUUAGUCCAGUAACUGUGACAAACUUCUUCCAACCAAAACAAACUGACAUGCCACAGUAAUUUAUCCACACCUCAUCCAUCUUAUCCUUAUUUUCAUACAUAAACCUAUGCUUGAGAAGAACAUAUACCAUGGUCAUUUGGAAAUGAGAAUUAUUGUCCUCCGACAAAUCAAGAUAUUGCCCAAUGCAGUUGUCUCUAAAAUAAACAUCCAAUUUUUUCUCUCGAAGUAUUUUUCUGAAGGUAUCAAAAGAUUUUUCUAUGAAUGAAUUUACCAUAAAAUUACCAGUUAAAUCUGUGGCACAAUCGCCAUGCAUUCUCACAAAAUAACUAUAAAUGCUGAAGGUUUUUGACCAACUUUUCAGAGGAAGGGUGUAAUACCCCAGGAAAUAUUUCGUUGAAAUUUUGUGUGUAAACGUGUUGGGUUCUAUCUUCUAGAAUGAAUUAUAAAUUUUUCGUGUGGAAUGUCUUAGAUUAUGACACACCAUUGCGUAGAGUAUUGAAUAAUCUUUCCAAUGAUAUAUGGAUCAUCCAACACGGACACUCGAAUGACGAGUUAUGAACAUUCCGAUCGAACCAUGAAUAGUAGUGCAUAGUAAAACAUGCAGGAAAAAGUACUGAGGCCUGACGUAUUUUUGCUUCAAAUUUAAAUGAUCAUAACUCCUUAUACAUAAUAAUCUUGGUGAUUUACUAUAUAUCAACGAAAAUCUCUACGAGUCCUCUUUCCAAUGAAAUUGGUUUCAUCUAAUUUGUCUAUUGGAGCAAAAAGUUAUGGUCGAUCUACUUCAGCCUAUCAAAAGUAAAUUUUUGGGUCAACUUCAAAUGAUCAUAACUCCUCGUACACAAUGAUCUGGGUGAGAUACUAUAUAUAACGGAAAGAUAUGAGAGUCCUCUUUCUAAUGAAAUUAGUUUCAUCCAAUUUGGAUAUCGGAGUAAAACGUUAUGGUUGAUCUACUUCAGACUAUCAAAAAAGUCCAUCAAAGGACAGAUUCGAGAAUUAUUUGAUUUUUAGGGGCGUUUUGGCCAUUUCGCCUCACCCAAAAUCCAUUCAAACCCUAUAUUAAAGCCUAUUAAAAGCAUUAUAUGUUAUAUUUCAUCAAAUUUCCUUAAAAAAAACCCUAAGCUCCUACAUCCAACUUNNNNNNNNNNNNNNNNNNNNNNNNNNNNNNNNNNNNNNNNNNNNNNNNNNNNNNNNNNNNNNNNNNNNNNNNNNNNNNNNNNNNNNNNNNNNNNNNNNNNNNNNNNNNNNNNNNNNNNNNNNNNNNNNNNNNNNNNNNNNNNNNNNNNNNNNNNNNNNNNNNNNNNNNNNNNNNNNNNNNNNNNNNNNNNNNNNNNNNNNNNNNNNNNNNNNNNNNNNNNNNNNNNNNNNNNNNNNNNNNNNNNNNNNNNNNNNNNNNNNNNNNNNNNNNNNNNNNNNNNNNNNNNNNNNNNNNNNNNNNNNNNNNNNNNNNNNNNNNNNNNNNNNNNNNNNNNNNNNNNNNNNNNNNNNNNNNNNNNNNNNNNNNNNNNNNNNNNNNNNNNNNNNNNNNNNNNNNNNNNNNNNNNNNNNNNNNNNNNNNNNNNNNNNNNNNNNNNNNNNNNNNNNNNNNNNNNNNNNNNNNNNNNNNNNNNNNNNNNNNNNNNNNNNNNNNNNNNNNNNNNNNNNNNNNNNNNNNNNNNNNNNNNNNNNNNNNNNNNNNNNNNNNNNNNNNNNNNNNNNNNNNNNNNNNNNNNNNNNNNNNNNNNNNNNNNNNNNNNNNNNNNNNNNNNNNNNNNNNNNNNNNNNNNNNNNNNNNNNNNNNNNNNNNNNNNNNNNNNNNNNNNNNNNNNNNNNNNNNNNNNUUUAUGUCGGUUAUAGGGUCUCCCAGUGUGUGUGUGUUUCUUUGUGUCUAUGGUGAAUGGUGAAGUGAUUUGAAAGUUGAAUUGUGAAAGUUAUUCUUUCGAAAGAUUUAAAUGAUAUUUACAUUAUGAGAAUUGAUAUUCUUGAUGAACUGAAAGUGAUUGACAAAUUAUAUGAUGACUCACAUAUGUUAUUGUAUUUAUUUCAUCCUCUCAUGAUUAUGAUGAUUUUCUUCGGGCUAUGUGAGUCUUUCAUAAUCCUUCAUAUUUCUUAUAAAUAUUUAUGAUGAUGAUGUUUAUGUAAUGGCAUACACCCCCAUAUACUCAAUUUCUUUCUAUGGUACAGACCCACAUCUUCGGAUGUGGGCUGUAUUUUCUUGAAAUAUUGGUUCAGGUGCUCAGUUCCAGGUUCGACAGUGAUUCUUCGGGCAUGCUGUUCUACAUUC